CCCGCGCUCCUCCGGGCAGAGCGCGUGUGGCGGCCGAGCACAUGGGCCCGCGGGCCGGGCGGGCUCGGGGCGGCCGGGACGAGGAGGGGCGACGACGAGCUGCGAGCAAAGAUGUGCCCCGGGACCCCCGGCACCUUCCAGUGGAUUUCCUUGCGGAAAGGAUGUUGGCGGUCCCUGUGACCUGUGGAGACACGGCCAGAUCUGCCCUCCAGAUUUAUUAGGAGAAAAACCUUCCCGGAAGCUGCAGAAGGACAAAUACAGAAUCCGUGUCUGGGAGAAACCUCGUGGCCUGGUCUCCAUUAUUUGAGAUGAGUUACAUCUUGGAGGCCUGAUCUUUUGGCCAGAAGGAGAUUAAAAAGAUGCCCCUCAAGAUGGCUGUGCCUGUCAGCUGCAUGGAGCUUCGUUCAAGUAUUUUCUGAGCCUGAUGGAUUUACAGUGAUCUUCAGUGGUCUGGGGAAUAACGCUGGUGGAACCAUGCACUGGAAUGACACACGCCCGGCACAUUUCAGGAUACUAAAAGUGGUUUUAAGGGAGGCUGUGGCUGAAUGCCUCAUGGAUUCUUACAGCUUGGAUGUCCAUGGGGGACGAAGGACUGCAGCUGGCUGAGAGGGUUGAGAUCUCUGUUUACUUAGAUCUCUGCCAACUUCCUUUGGGUCUCCCUAUGGAAUGUAAGACCCCGACUCUUCCUGGUGAAGCAUCUGAUGCACGUUCCAUCCGGCGCUCAGCUGGGCUUGAGCUGACCAUACUCCCUGGAGCCUUCUCCCGAGGUGCGCGGGUGACCUUGGCACAUACAGCCAUCAUGAUGGUACUUUAAGUGGAGGCUGAAUCAUCUCCCCUUUGAGCUGCUUGGCACGUGGCUCCCUUGGUGUUCCCCUUUUACUGCCAGGACACUGAGAUUUGGAGAGUCUCUUCACCCUCUGAAAACAAGAGGAUGUGUAGCAUAGUGAGCAACAGCUGUGUGCCGGGGACUCAGCAUUAAGUAGCAUGGGAUUACUCAUGACUUCGCACUCAUGGCAGCCUCACAGAGUCUCACUCUGUGGUCCAGGCUGAAGUACAGUGGCAUGAUCCCAGGUCACUGCAACCCCCACCUCCCGGGUUCAAGUGAUCCUCCUGCCUCAGCCUCCCGAGUAGCUGGUAUUACAGGCGUGUGCCACAAAGCCUGGCUAAGUUUUGUAUUUUUAGUAGAGACGGGGUUUCACCAUGUUGGCCAGGUUGGUCUCGAACUCCUGACCUCAAGUGAUCCACUCACUUUGGCCUUUCAACGUGCUGGGAUUACAGGCGAGAGUCACCGCACCCGGACGACUCUGACAUUUUUGAAGAGUCCAGAAUCCUGUUACACCUGGGAUUUAGGCACUUUCAAUCUGAAAAAAUACAUAUCCUUUCAGCACUCUGGACGGACUUGAGAACUGUCCUUACGUGACCUAAAGCUGGAGUAUUUUGAGAUUGGAGAAUUAAGGCCUUCAGUGGGUUGAAUGAGGCCCAACCCACAUUGAAGAGGACCAUCUGCUUUACUCAGUCUCCUGGUUGAAGUGAUAAUCUCAUCUGGACAUACUCAGAAAUGCUGUUUAACCAGCUCUCUGGAAAUCCUGUGGCCCAGUCAAGUUGACACACAAAAUUAACCAUCACACUGCAGAGACACAGUCUAUCCCAAUACCUGUAUUUACUGGGUAACGUGCAUCUCAGCUCACCAGGCUGGUUUGAUUGACUUGGCCCAAAGCUGCCCUUUGAGUGUUGAGCCCCAGCUGACCCCUUUGAUCCUUCACAGCCCCAUCAUUAAAACAAGGACCCUGAAUCAAGUGACUAAGGAAGUCACUGUGCAUAGCCAUCCCCUAAGAAGAGGGCAUUCCUGCUCUUCCUUCUCCAUGGCUAGAGGAUCUACAUGAACUAUUUAGAUUUUUUCUACCUGGGAGAUUUAACUCCUCUCUCCUAUUUAUUUAUUUAUAUAUCAGCAUGGACUUGCAGGCCAACAGAGAUUUUGAGAAACACAUUGAAGGAUCUGUUAACACUUGAUAUACCCAAUAAAAGCAGUGGUUGUGCCAGUGCUGAUCUGUCUUGAUGUGAAUGUGAACAAUGGGAACCUGAGCUGAGCAGUUAAUGCUAGGGUGACAGAAACUGGACCUCUCCCAAGACAUGUGACAGAGUAAUACAGCAGCCAACUUCUUCGCCAAAUUAAAGUUUUACAAGAUUUAACCUGUCAUCAAGACCUGGGAUUUUGGUGAGCCAGUCUUGGUGCUCUGUGUUCACCUGGUUCAUCUGAGGAGCUGCAUCUACCCUGCCCAUGCCAUAGAUCCUGCCCUGUUUGCUUCUCCUGUUGCUGCUAGUGGACAUGAGGUAACCACAGCCUAGUUCUGUGAUAAGCUCUUCACACCUGUACCCAUAUGGACUGUGGGAGAGUUUCUCUGAUAUGGACUGUGAUGCGGGUCACCCGAUAUAGAAUCACACACCUGGGAGAUGGCACCAGCCAGUGAGGCUCAAAUUUGAACCACACACAAAUCUCCAGGGGUACUUGAAGGACAGAAUAACGGGCUCCCAGAUUCACAAGCCCCACCAAGAGGAUCACCCCAGGAACGCUUGGAGGCUGAGGAGUUCACUGAGGCUACUGCAUCUUGAGACUCAGGAUGAAGACCCAGCUUGGGGCUGUCAAAGGUUUUUUGCAUGUCUGACACCCAUGACUCCACCUGGACCUUAUGGCUCCACCCAGAAGCAAUUCAGCCCAACAGGAGGACAGCUUCAACCCAUUACGAUUUCAUCUCUGCCCCAACCACUCAGCAGCAAGCACCUGUUACCUGUCCACCCCCACCCCUUCCCCCAAACUGCCUUUGAAAAAUCCCUAACCUAUGAGCUUUGAAUAAGAUGAGUACGAACUUCAUCGCCCACGUGGCGUGGCCGGCCUCGUGUCUAUUAAAUUCUUUUUCUACUACAA